rnacentral:lncRNA from 1 species
UCUCUCUUUUUUGGUCUCCUGAACCUCCUUAUCUUGCUUUGUUUCCGUGUUUGCCUUGUACUGUACUGUAUUUUUUUAAUAAUAGUUUUUACUGUAGGGGUGUAAACCCCUCCAGUUUCUCUAAAAAAAAAUCACUAGAAUAUUUCGACACAUGGUCUUCUCUCAGCAGGGUCUGCCAAUGCAGUAGCCACCAAACUUCAUCAGUAGGAAGAACAGUGACAAAGCGUGACGCCCGAUCCUUCUGAAAGUAACACCAGCC